AUUGAACGCUGGCGGCAGGCCUAACACAUGCAAGUCGAACGGUAACAGGAAGAAGCUUGCUUCUUUGCCGACGAGUGGCGGACGGGUGAGUAAUGUCUGGGAAACUGCCUGAUGGAGGGGGAUAACUACUGGAAACGGUAGCUAAUACCGCAUAACGUCGCAAGACCAAAGAGGGGGACCUUCGGGCCUCUUGCCAUCGGAUGUGCCCAGAUGGGAUUAGCUAGUAGGUGGGGUAACGGCUCACCUAGGCGACGAUCCCUAGCUGGUCUGAGAGGAUGACCAGCCACACUGGAACUGAGACACGGUCCAGACUCCUACGGGAGGCAGCAGUGGGGAAUAUUGCACAAUGGGCGCAAGCCUGAUGCAGCCAUGCCGCGUGUAUGAAGAAGGCCUUCGGGUUGUAAAGUACUUUCAGCGGGGAGGAAGGGAGUAAAGUUAAUACCUUUGCUCAUUGACGUUACCCGCAGAAGAAGCACCGGCUAACUCCGUGCCAGCAGCCGCGGUAAUACGGAGGGUGCAAGCGUUAAUCGGAAUUACUGGGCGUAAAGCGCACGCAGGCGGUUUGUUAAGUCAGAUGUGAAAUCCCCGGGCUCAACCUGGGAACUGCAUCUGAUACUGGCAAGCUUGAGUCUCGUAGAGGGGGGUAGAAUUCCAGGUGUAGCGGUGAAAUGCGUAGAGAUCUGGAGGAAUACCGGUGGCGAAGGCGGCCCCCUGGACGAAGACUGACGCUCAGGUGCGAAAGCGUGGGAGCAAACAGGAUUAGAUACCCUGGUAGUCCACGCCGUAAACGAUGUCGACUUGGAGGUUGUGCCCUUGAGGCGUGGCUUCCGGAGCUAACGCGUUAAGUCGACCGCCUGGGGAGUACGGCCGCAAGGUUAAAACUCAAAUGAAUUGACGGGGGCCCGCACAAGCGGUGGAGCAUGUGGUUUAAUUCGAUGCAACGCGAAGAACCUUACCUGGUCUUGACAUCCACGGAAGUUUUCAGAGAUGAGAAUGUGCCUUCGGGAACCGUGAGACAGGUGCUGCAUGGCUGUCGUCAGCUCGUGUUGUGAAAUGUUGGGUUAAGUCCCGCAACGAGCGCAACCCUUAUCCUUUGUUGCCAGCGGUCCGGCCGGGAACUCAAAGGAGACUGCCAGUGAUAAACUGGAGGAAGGUGGGGAUGACGUCAAGUCAUCAUGGCCCUUACGACCAGGGCUACACACGUGCUACAAUGGCGCAUACAAAGAGAAGCGACCUCGCGAGAGCAAGCGGACCUCAUAAAGUGCGUCGUAGUCCGGAUUGGAGUCUGCAACUCGACUCCAUGAAGUCGGAAUCGCUAGUAAUCGUGGAUCAGAAUGCCACGGUGAAUACGUUCCCGGGCCU
rnacentral:rRNA from 1 species